AUGCGGAGAUGGCGAUUGCGCCAUUAUUUCAGUGCGAUACACCGUAAAGUAUUGUAACCCUGAACAACAUGUGCGAAAUGCCGGUGUCCUCUUUCUUACGUGUUAGUCUUUGUACCCGAACGCGUCACUCUUACUGCGUACUCAGUACCUGUUCAAACGGCGAGUAAUGAGAGGAAAGCCAGACAAAGAAGAAAAAUAUCACACGCUAACCAACCAGCCUCUUAACCGCUUUGAGCUGCUAAAUUUGACAAGGACGCGGUUUACCGACGGCGCAAAAGUGACGCCAAGGAAAGGCCAUUUACGUACCAAGAGCCUAAGUACACGACGACUAAUGGCCUUCGUGCAUCUACAUCAGAAUCAUUGUCGGAAGGAGUUGUUCCUGGACUGUAAACAGUAAAAUGAGUCUAUUUUCA